rnacentral:lncRNA from 1 species
CGCGGUAAUCUAUUACCAAGAGUGGUUUGAAUAAUCAAAGGAAAUCUCGGCAGGGUGCUGAAUAUCAAGAGUGGUGGGAAUACUCAAAGGAAAUCUCGACAGGGUGUUGAGUACUAGGAGUGGUGCGAAUACUCAGAGAAAAUCUCGGCGUGGUAGUUGAGUACCAAGAGUGGUGGUAAUACUCAUUUGUAAUCAUGUGAAGAUUAUAGUGGAACCUUUUGCGAAGGAGACUGAAUGUAGUUUAGUUGGAGCGGACCAGUAUAAAAUCUCUUGUGUUAUUUUCUCUUCUCUUUACUAAAUGAUCCUCUUGCAAAAC